UACAAGCGAUACAAAGUUAAUAUUUUUACAAGUUUACAUCUCUUCGUGUGUAUCGAUCCUUCCUUGCUAUGGAUUCCAGGACCAACUACUAGGAUUGUCUGUCUGGCUGUUCCAGAUAGGCGCAGAAUGUCUCUGGUAAGUGGGAGUUUGUGCACGAGAGAGUAAGCUAGAACCGAAGAACUGGUGCUAUGUCCUUACACCCUAGAUGCUCUGUAUGUUCUUGCACAAAAGAGGGGGUAGCAUCUUCGUGCAUCACAAGUUACUACCCAUUGUAUGAAAAACGAUGUCUGUCUAAACGGUUGCUAUUUUCGAGUUGGAGAUAUUGAUCCGAUUACCAGAGGAGUUCGCGUAGCGCGUGAGAAGAGGAUCUAGACCACAGCUACUAACCCCCGACUCUGACUUCCGAGAGAACACAGAGUGAUAAAAACAGGUUAUCAGCCUUCUCCCAUCCAUCCUCUGUACCUGUACUGUUGCUAAUUGUACUGAAAACGAGAACGCUCUGGAUUUUUACCGAAAAUUCACACCAGGAAUGGAACCUACUCAAGAUUUUUCACUCAAGACUACGAGCUCUAAGUGCCGAGGCAGCGGGGAGAAAUGAGGAUGGAGGAUUAACGGGCCCAAGAACACUCGUUCAAGCCAUGGCCCAGCGUAAGGCCACUCCGGCAGAGAAGACGCCUACAUCCCUGUUCGUUCUGAAAGAGGACAACAUUAUUAGGAGAUACACAAAGUUCGUCAUUGAGUGGCCAUAUCCUUUGAUGUUACUCUAAAACGCUUUCCAAGUAGGGUUUUGUUUC